ACAACAAUAUACAUACACUCACAGGAUUCCAUCAUCUUUCAUUUUUUGAUGACAAUAUACACACACACGUAAGAUGUACAGAGCUUCCUCACCAUUUCGUCUCUCAAUACAUACAAACACCUCAUACACGCACAUACCCCUCAAUUCACCAAUACACAGUUCCCACAGCCCACAUUACACAGAUUACACUCGCAGUAAUUCUCACACACACACACUGAAAAUUGGAGGGAGAUUGAGAGUGAAGAGAGAGAUUGAGAAAGACAGUGAUUGGAAAUCUGAGAGGAGAGAGGAAACAGACGUCGAAUGACACUAUUUCGGCGAGAACCCGCCAAAAAAGGUUGAAAACUCGGCUGAUUCACCAAUUCCCAUCGCUACUAGAGCUCACUGAAGCUCCGGCAAAAUAAUAACAACAAAACAUCCCUCUCCCGUCCCCGUCUUCGGUAAAUUCAUCGGAGAACAAAUUCCAAAUCUACCUGACCAGUCCCAGAUUCGGCGGAAAUUGUCAAAAAAUGAACGAAGCAGUAGUGGGGUGUGCAAAUUCGAGUACGGGUCUUUUGUUAUUUUCUUGAUUUUGAUCUAGGUUGGCGAAAAACAGAGAAAAAGGGUAUAUCGUGGUCGGGUUUAUUAGUGGAGGUUUGAAUUGAGGUUUUUCGGGCGCGCUUCUAUCUUCGAUAUAUCAAAAUCGACAAUUGAGGUCCAAUUCUUCUCUUUUCCUCUUUUUAUUUCAUUGUUUAUUAUAUUUGGUGUGUUGGAUUAAAUAUCAUGUGUUGUUUGAUCCUUGUUGGUGAUGAAUAGUGUCUUGGUAUCGAUUGAUUGUUGAUUUCGUUGAUUAUGUAUGAUGCGAUGAAACGAUAUAAUCACUUGAGAUUUGAAAUCUGUAAUUUGAGUAUAGAAUUGGGGGUGGGAAUUAAAAGAUUAAUAAGGUGCAUGUUGAUUAUUUUUAUUCAUUGAUGGAUAUGGUUGAAAUCGAUAGUAUCAUAUUUUAGAUCGUUUAAUGGGUAGACAAAUACUAAGUUUGGGUAGGCAAAUUAUAGAAAUAGAAGAUGAUGAUUUGUUGAAUGUGUGGAUGUCUUGUUGAAUGGUUCUUUCUAUUUUCAACGCACAAAAUUGAAAAAAUGUAUUCAUUUGACCGGAGAAUGCACCGAGGUCUUAUGUACUUAUUCAUUGGGGAAUACCUCAAAGCAUCUUGUACUCGAAGAGCAUUCGUGAUGAAGGUCCGAGGCAUUGGGUAAAGCAUAGAAAUGUAGUUUAGGAUUAGUAAGUAGGUUUACAUUUCCAUAUUUUUCUAUUUUUGGAACUGUAAUAAUUGGGAUGAAAACUAUAUACUUGUUUUGUUUUGUUUAUUUGAUUGAUUGUUUUGUGUGUUUUAUGUAAUUUAUACAUUCAUAGUGUCAAAUUAGCCGAUAUGCUCCACCAAACGAAUAUGGUCGAACCACGGGAUCGAGGGGUGCCUAACACCUUUCCCUCGGUCAACAGAAUUCCUUAAUCGAAAUCUCUAUUCGUGGAUCAGUUUUAAAGAGUCAAAAUCAUUUUCAAAAAGGAUAUCCAAGGGUGACUUGGCACAGCCGAUUUAUGCCAAGUGCCGACUCUGAGUUUUGAAUAUAAAAAGUUAUUUUCGAAACAAAUCUUCAUUUUGUCACUUAAUAAUAAAACCCUUUUUCAAACCUUAAAUUAAUUCUUUUUUGUUAAUAAAAGGGUGUGACUGCUCUGGCGACUCUGCUGGGGACAUUUUCAGUAGUCGAGCUUAUUUUUGAUAUUGUAUCGGCUUAGUUUAACAUUAUGAUUGUAUAGACGUUGUUUGCGAUAUUGUUUGUACACCCUCCAUCCCAAAUUAUAUGUCGCCAUUUUCUUUUCGGUCCGUCCCAAAAAGAAUGUCGCCUUUCCUUAUUAGGUAAGUUCUUAAAGACACAAUUACAAUUUUACCCUUAGUGGUCCUACUUGAUUUUAAAUACUAUUACUCAUUUUUUAUUUGUUUUUUCAAUUAAAAGUGGCCCAGCUUGAUUUUAAAUACUAUUACUAUAAUUUUGUAACUUUAACAAAGUCAACACUUAUUUCUUAAAUAUUGUGUCCGGUCAAAUAACGACAUAUAACUUGAGAUGGAGGGAGUAUUUAUUUUAUCAUUGUUAAUUGCCUACUUGCUACGUUUUUAUAGUUUUUACUCUUAUGUGUUACCGCUUUAUAUCUGACAUCAUUUGUAUAACCCGAGUCAAUUUUUUCUGCAACAAGUCUCGGAGUACACGUUGUGUACACGAACUCUAGUUGAGUCACCCUUAUUGUAGGAGGGGGACCCGUCAGAUGUAUGGAGUAGGUGGAAAGCAAAGCAACCACUAUUGACCAUAUGCUCCUUGAACGUCCUUGUCAGUGGACCCCAACGUAGGUCAGCCUUUAGAUCAUGCUUAUCUACAUCAUAUUGAGACCUAGCGGGACCUACUUGAUCCUUUGUAAGAGACUCGCCCAUAAAGCAUCUCUACGUGCUAAUUGUUGCAUCUUUGAGGGUAAUAUGAUCAUUUGAUGGACUGGUUUAGGGAAAACAUGUGUUAGAAUUAAAGGAGCGUGUGUUACGCAAGGAAAAAGAAAAGAAAAAAAAGAGUUUAGGAGUUUUUUUAGUGACCUUUAUGGCUUUUGUUUUUCACAAUUCAAAAAUUCAAAAAGACUUUUUACCUUUUGCACUCAUUUACUCAAAAAACAAAAUAUCAAAAAGAUUUUGCCUUUGUUUCUUUCUUUUAGCAAGCAUUCAUAAUUUGAAAAUUUCAAAAAAGAUUUUUUUUUUUGGAGUUAUUUUUUAUAAAGGAAAAAUUCAAAAAAAAUGAUAGAAGUUUUGUACAUUUCAUGUAACGAAAUACAAAAAGUUUUUUCUUUCAUAAUUGUUGGUGUCAAUCUUAUGUGAAGUGUCCAAUUGAACCCCCCCCCCCCCCCAAAAAAAAAAGAUUUUAUUGACAUUUUUUAUCAUCCAUCUUUGGUCAUGUCUAUCAAGUAAAGGUUCAGUUUGUUGUUUAAUCCUUAAUUAUCCAAUCUGGACGAAUUACACAUACCUGAUUCUUCUCUCUCGGGGCUGACAUACGUAGGCACCCCUUCCAGGGUUCAGUAAUCUUAUUUACAAAAACCACAAAAAGAUUUUUCUUUAAUUGUUUCAAGUUUAUUUUCGUAUGAAAUUCAAAAUUGAAACCCUAAAAAGGAUUCUUCUUUGGUAAUUAGAGGUUUCGUUUUGUAUAGAAAUCUGAAAAAAUUCAAAAAAAAUUUAUUCACUCUUCAUUUAGAGUAGGUAUCAUAUACAUCUCUAAAAGAAAACGACAAAAGAUUUUCUUUUAAUAGUUUCAAGUUUCAUUUUCGUAUGAAAUUCAAAAUUGAAAACUCAGAACGAGUUUCCUUUGGUGACCAUAAGUUUCAUUUUGUAUAGGAAGCUGAAAAAUUCAAAAAGAUUUUCGUCAAUUCUAUUGGCAAUUUGUUAUUUUCUUUUCUUCUUAAAGUUUCAAGAAAAAGAAAAAAAGAAAGAGAGUUGAUCGGUCGUUUUGUGGCCAAAUUUCAUGAACUACACACACCUGAUUUUACUCUCUCGGGAGUGAGAUAUGUAGGCGCCCUUCUUGGGUUCGGUGAUCUUUUUAAAAAAAAAAGAAAGAAAAAGAUUUUUAAAAAAGAUGUUGAACUCCAACACAUUUGUUAUCUCUUGUUCAGUUAGUUUAAGGUGGUUGGUUUGUGGCAUUUUGAUUGGUCCUCCAUAUCACACCAAGUCUAAGGGAGAGUUAGUCAUGUCCAACAAGGAUAUAGAGAGUGACAUCAUGGAUCAGACGAAGGGUAAAAAAAUGAGAGUUUAAAGGAAGAGAUUUUGAGACUAAGGUAACAAAUGAUAGAAAUACACCGAUCUUGGGCCAGUGGGUUGCCUUCCUACUAUCGUUGAUGCACCACAACAUGCCUCGAAAUUCAUGACAUGUCAGCUGCAUCCCAAUACUUCCACCACCUCUUCUCUAUCUCCUCAAUAUAAGCCUACUAUAUUCGCAACACCAUAUGUCGUCUGUGAUUUGUUGCUCAACCCUCUAUUGAGGCUUCCACAUUGGCUAUCCGUCCAAUGAUUGUGGUUUCCCAGGCCACUAGUGAACCCAUGUUCAAUACUCUUGAUAAUCAUUUCUAUACUUAUUAGCCACUUUUAAGUUAACUGGACCACCAAAAUUUCUUACCAAGAAGUCCGACAUGGCAGAAGAGCAAAUGGUUUGGAAAAUGAAGGGUAUAGAAAAUACUAUGAAAAGUUCCCUAGGACUCGUAGAUAAAGAAGAUGUUUCAUAUAAAUAUUGAGGCAUGUCUUCAAGUUUCAACCUUUUUCAAAGAUUUUAGAUAUUGAAAUUUGAAGAACAUGAUGGACAUUAGGAUUCUGUGAAACAUUUGGUACGAUACUGCAAUAAAUCAAAGGAAGCUGAAGGGAAAAAGAAGGAAGACGUACCUAUUGUCGUGCCAGGGCCAAAGCAGAGAUUGAGAGGUCCAACUCACUAAUACUGUCAGCAUCAAUCCCUAUCUUACUUAUUAGAUCCACAUACUCACCUACAACACGGUUUCUCAUUCCAAAAUCCAAGAUAUUCUACUUUACUUCCUCAAUAUCCUUUGAAAAAUGCACAAUUGUAUACUCGUCUGUUAUCUUAUCCACAAUGGCAAGCACCGAUCCCUCAACAUCAUCCUCAGCCCCCCCAUAUAUUUACCAAGGUGCCUCUAAAUCCAAGUUUCAACCAAGGCUAGAGUUUUUAAAGAGGAUGAAGGAAAGGGGUAAUUUCACUCAUAUUGGGGAAUCCUAUGCCAGUUUGUUCCAUAGAUUGAGAUAGUGGGGCUUGAUUACUCCUCUCCUUAGGUAUACACUCGACUCACAUUCAAGAAAUUUUGACCCUAAUGUAUGGUGCGAAUAUCAUUCUGAUGUCUAGGGUCAUAAUAUUAAAGAUUGUCGUAAUUUGAAAAGAGAAAUAGAAAAGAUGAUUCAAGAAAAGUGAUUGUUGCAAAAUGUUGACACCUCGAGCGUUACACAGAAUCCUUCAUCAACACAUGGUGAUGCACAGUACGUGGGAAGUAAUGAGUUGGGCAUGAGGAUCCAAAACUUAUUUGUUGAGGGAAAUGUGUUUGAUGGUGAUGAAAGCUCUAAUCAUGAUGUGCAAAUCAAUGGCUAAGAUGUCAAGCUCAGCAAUUGGGAACUCACUCUUCUCCCUGCUAGGAUAAAUGUUUGGUAGUUUGUUUUCUUUUCUUUUCUAUUAUCUGAAUUAUUUCAGAGUUGUAGUUCGGGAUCUAUCUUGUUUUGCCCCUUUGUCGUUUAUGUUCAAACCCUUCCAUCUUUCAUUUAAACUAAAUGGAGUGCCCCUUUUUCCUUUGUGUUUUAAAUAUGUGUUGUUGUUUGUUUUCUUUACACAGUAUAUUUUAUGUUGGUUCUAGUGACAUGACAUGCUAGUGUAAUUUUCAGCUAGAUCUUAAAUCAAGUUUAACCAAGAAUUUUGAAUCAGAGGGAUAAGGUUAGAAAAGAAUCUGAGAAAAUAGGUAGAGUGCUAAGAUAUUUGGCAACAAGUUGAAGCCUUCUUUGAAAAUUAAGACAAUUAUUUUGAGAAUCACAAGAGUAACUUGGUCCUCAAUUGAAAAACAUGUCUCAAUUAGGUUAAAAAGUGGCUGCGUGAUCUUAUAUUAAGAGGAACAGAAAGAAAAUCAGCUCCACAAAAGCAUGAGUAAUUCGAUGUGAGGGAUGUACAACAAAGGUGGAGUUGUAUGCUGGAAAACUGUGGAAAAAUAUGUGACACACAUUCUCAGUUAAAGUAUUGAUAAAGUGUCACAAAUGCUCUUCAUCUCGCUUUCAUAUUGCAUUUUUACGUACUUGCAUUUUCAAGGAUUGAUAUGACGAAGGCAUUUCAUUCUGCUAUCCAAACAUUGUGUCAUCCUUUGUUUACCCAUUUGAGCCUUAGUUCUAUUUUCUUUCAUACCCCUCUUUUGGAAUCAAGAUAAGAUUCAGCAAUGUUCAAAAGAAAAGUGUUGAGCAAAAGAAUAAAGUAAAAAAUGUGUCAAAAAGAAAGAAAAAGAAGUGUCAAGGAAAAUAAAGUCAGAAAAAUUUUCAAAGAUAAAUAAAAAAAAGAAAAGAAGUUAGAAUCAAGCAAAAGAACGAGUUGUUGGAACUACGUGUGACCUGAUUCUUCUUUCUCGGGGAUGAGAUAUGUAGGCUGCCCUACUCUGGGCUUGGUCCAACCAAAUAAAUAAUUUAGUAUUUCCCAGUAAAAAAAAAACUAGGGCAUGAGUUAAUCCUCAUUAUUUGAGUCGAUUCUAAAAGUUGUAAGUCCCACCCUACUUUAAAUAUCGUUUGGGCCUCAUGCCAUUCUUUCUUUCUAACCCUAUCCAAAAGCCAAGUUACAACCAAAGAAAGACCUUCAGACCAAUCUUUGAGGAUGUUAAGGCUAAGCAUGCAAGGGAUAUAAUGAUGCAUUUGGGAACUACUUGUCUUCCUCGGCAUAAGGAAUCAAGAGAGAAAUAAAAAUGAGAGUCUUAUUGAUGAAAACCCUCACGGGCACCGUAAGGCAAUGGUAAGUCGAUAGAUAAUAAAAUGAGAGUCUUAUUGGUGAAAAUCUUCAUAGGCAUUGUAAGAUGAUGGUAAGUUGAGAAAAAUAAAAAUGAGAGAGUCUUAUUCGUGAAAACCUUCACGAGCACCAUAAGGCAAUGGUGAGCUGCGAGAAAAAUGAGAGAGACUUGUUGGUGAAAACCCUUCAAAGUGUCACUAGCCGAAUGAGGUCUUAAAUGCAAUUGACCUAAGGAAGUAACUCAAAUUCAAGGCCAUUAACUCAACAAGAAAUGGUAAAAGUUUGGACGAAAAGAUCAGGCAGCUUAAUCCGAAAUGUAUGUCAUAUCAUUGGAGUUGACUGUCACUUUCAGAUAAAUUCUUCUUUUCUCUAUUUUAAUGGGGACAUUCAUUAUAUUUUCUUUCUUCUGAUAGUUUUAUUUUUAUUUUCUUGAGUCAUUUAUUCAAAUAAAAAAAUCAUUGUCAUUUUUCUCGUGUCUUUGAGUCAAGUUUAUGUCAAAAUAAGUGAGAAAAGUUUUCAAAAUUGGAUACUAACUUCUUCAAUUGCGCUAAGAAAGACAAAAGGAAAGCACAUGAAAGAAACAAGAUUGCAAGUCAGAACAAGGCAUACAGAAGGUUGUUGUCAACCAACAAAUUUGGAGAAUUCGUGGAAAUACCAAUAUCUAAAGGGGAUUGUCUUAGAAACAUAGCAAAGCAGAGAUACUGUGUUUGUUUUAGAGUCACUCUUAAUAAUCUGAGUCUGGAGCAAUGGUGAAACAAGGCAAUGACGAAUGUUAAUGAUUGGAAUUAAGAUUUUAAUGGGACCAGUGCAAGAGAAAUUGCCUCAAAAGCAAAAUCCGCAAGCCAACCACCUUGUUUAAAACUCACAAGUUUUCUUUGUUAUAAAACAGGAAUGGUUGCUACCUUUUAAUCAAAGUCUUCAAAGCACAAAUAUCCAGAGCUGCAAUUCCUCAUUUCUGCAAAUGCAAGAGCAUAGGUUUGGUAAUUGCAAUUAUGGUAAAACUUAUUAUCUUGUACCCCUAAGAGACACAUUCUCUAAUUUA
rnacentral:lncRNA from 1 species